ensembl:misc_RNA 7SK 7SK RNA
GGAUGUGAGGGGAUCUGGCUGCGACAUCUGUCACCCCAUUGAUCACCAGGGUUGAUUCAGCUGAUCUGGCUGACUAGGUGGGUGUCCCCUUCCUCCCUCACCGCUCCAUGUGCGUCCCUCCCGAAGCUGCGCACUCGGUCGAAGAGGAUGACCUUCCCCGAUAGAGGAAGACCGUUCUUCUGCGCUCCCCUACUAGAACCUCCAAACAAGCUCUCAAUCUUGCAUCAAAGAGUUUCAUCCAAACUUAGAACUGAAAACAUUCAAAUACAGCUUUGAGGAGUUUCUACUAUUGUU